GACGAACGCUGGCGGCGUGCCUAAUACAUGCAAGUAGAACGCUGAAGGAGGAGCUUACUUCUCUGGAUGAGUUGCGAACGGGUGAGUAACGCGUAGGUAACCUGCCUGGUAGCGGGGGAUAACUAUUGGAAACGAUAGCUAAUACCGCAUAAGAGUAGAUGUUGCAUGACAUUUACUUAAAAGGUGCAAUUGCACCACUACCAGAUGGACCUGCGUUGUAUUAGCUAGUUGGUGGGGGAACGGCUUACCAAGGCGACGAUACAUAGACGACCUGAGAGGGUGAUCGACCACCACGGGACUGAGACACGGCCCAGACUCCUACGGGAGGCAGCAGUAGGGAAUCUUCGGCAAUGGACGGAAGUCUGACCGAGCAACGCCCCGUGAGUGAAGAAGGUUUUCGGAUCGUAAAGCUCUGUUGUAAGAGAAGAACGAGUGUGAGAGUGGAAAGUUCACACUGUGACGGUAUCUUACCAGAAAGGGACGGCUAACUACGUGCCAGCAGCCGCAGUAA
rnacentral:rRNA from 1 species